AGGACGAACGCUGGCGGCGUGCUUAACACAUGCAAGUCGAGCGGUAAGGCUCCUUCGGGAGUACACGAGCGGCGAACGGGUGAGUAACACGUGAGCAAUCUGCCCUUCACAUCGGAACAACCAUUGGAAACGAUGGCUAAUACCGAAUACGACUUCGGACCGCAUGGUCUGAAGUGGAAAGCUCCGGCGGUGAAGGAUGAGCUCGCGGCCUAUCAGUCUU
rnacentral:rRNA from 1 species